CCCUUCCUAGUACGAAAGGACCGGAAGGAGUAAGGCCUCUAUUAAAAACAUGCCUUAUCCCCAUCCGAUGCCCCCAACUAAAUCGGCAAAGGGAAAUACCGCCAAGUCAAAGAUA
rnacentral:rRNA from 2 species